UGCCUGUACAAAUUGUGGACUUUAUUAUACCAGGAUGGGUGGCAGUUGGUGGGGGUGUAUGUUCAUUCUAUUUAAGGGUGUUAUGGUGAUUCAACAUGGCGGCGACCAUGCAAAAAAGUUUAUUGGAGGCUCUGGAUGCGAUUCGAACACAUGAAAUUGAGACGACAACUCGUUUGGUGUCAUGGUCUUCGCUUAAAGGAUUUGGAAAUCUUGGGGAGAGUUCAGGAUUAGACGUGAGAGAGGGCAUACCUAAGGGGCGUACUCCGCUCCCCAAGAGAGGGCAUACCUAAGGGGCGUACUCCGCUCCCCAAGAGAGGACAUACCAAAGGUGCGUACCCCUCCCCCAAAGGGUCCGCUAGACGUAAGCAAUUUGUGAAGAAAUCAGAAAGACAUACAAGUGAACAUAACACAUCGGUGGCCUUCAAGUAGUGGUGAUAUUGACUUCAUGGCACAUAUUCAAGGAUAGCGUUCUGCUACAAGACUGGAGAAAAUAAUUAUUUCUUAGUUUUAUGGCAUGUAUGCUUUUCUUGUUUUCAACAAAUAUCACACGGAUGAUGGAUACAUUUUCACCAGUAUUGGAAAUUGUUGGAAGACGAGGAAACUGUUGUUUAUUUACGGAUGAAGAAACAUCAAGAGGACAUAAUUAAAGGAAGUUGCGCUGUUUGAAUUUGUUGUUUUCAUGAGUUCAUGUCGCCUGCACAUGAUGGCAUUUGA